rnacentral:rRNA from 1 species
UACGUAGGGGGCGAGCGUUGUCCGGAGUUACUGGGCGCAAAGCGCACGCAGGCGGUCUGCUAAGUUUGGAGUGACAGUUGGUGGCUUAACUGCCAAAGUGCUUCGAAAACUGACAGACUUGAGGGCUUCAGAGGGACACGGAAUUCCGGGUGGAGUGGUGAAAUGCGUAGAGAUCCGGAGGAGCACCAAAGGCGAAGGCAGUGUCCUGGGGAGUACCUGACGCUCAGGUGCGAAAGCCAGGGGAGCGAACGGG